GAUGAACGCUGGCGGCGUGCCUAAUACAUGCAAGUCGAGCGAACAGAUGAGGAGCUUGCUCCUCUGACGUUAGCGGCGGACGGGUGAGUAACACGUGGAUAACCUACCUAUAAGACUGGGAUAACUUCGGGAAACCGGAGCUAAUACCGGAUAAUAUAUUGAACCGCAUGGUUCAAUAGUGAAAGACGGUUUUGCUGUCACUUAUAGAUGGAUCCGCGCCGCAUUAGCUAGUUGGUAAGGUAACGGCUUACCAAGGCAACGAUGCGUAGCCGACCUGAGAGGGUGAUCGGCCACACUGGAACUGAGACACGGUCCAGACUCCUACGGGAGGCAGCAGUAGGGAAUCUUCCGCAAUGGGCGAGAGCCUGACGGAGCAACGCCGCGUGAGUGAUGAAGGUCUUCGGAUCGUAAAACUCUGUUAUUAGGGAAGAACAAAUGUGUAAGUAACUAUGCACGUCUUGACGGUACCUAAUCAGAAAGCCACGGCUAACUACGUG
rnacentral:rRNA from 1 species